UGCUUUAAGUCACUAGGUAUGUUACGUGGGUUUGUCUUCCUUAGGGUGGAGUUAGUGGAACCGAAAAAGAUGUCUCCCUCACAGCGUUUGUGACAAAAGAAUUGCAUCGUUCCUUGGCGGCCUUUCAACAGAAGAAUAUUCAGAGAUUUCACGAGUGUUGAUUUCCCAAAGUGGAGCAUCUCACAUUUAAUGGAUUAAAAUCCACUUGCCGUUUCUGCAACUGAUCUGGAGGCAACACACAGCCCUGGUAUCUCAAAUGUGGCUACAGAAACUAUGCCCCCAACGAAUGAGUCUCCAACCACGAUCACUCACUUGGAUUUACCUGACCCUGUCCCACAGCAGGGCGGUUUGUACAACGGACCUGGCUACUGCUGAUUAUAUAACCGUUCCAGUUUGGUUUUAGAUCAGUGUUAACCUUGAUGAAGUGGAUAGCCAAGCACCUCAGUGGUCUACAGUACAGGAGAAAUAAAUUCUGAAGCUCACGGAUUCUGUGACAGUCAAAGACAAGCACUGAAUUGUUCUAACCUCAUUUCCAACACCUGGCCCAUAGCCUUGCAUGGCUUGGAUAACACUUGCACAUUUAAAAAAAAUGUAAGGAUGAUGGUAAGGACAUGGAAUUUUGUGAUAUGGUCAUAUUCUCUCUUGUUGGAGCUGAUUGCUGCUUAGCACUUGUAUGGUGCAAAUGUUACUUAUCCUUUGUCAGGCCAAGCCUGAUAAUUGUCCAAGUCUCACUGUAUUUUCUCAUCGUUGACUUCACUGUUGGAAAAGUCAUGAAUUCUGCUGGACACCUGGACAAUAUUCAAUGAACAUUCAUGUCUCCACUUUGGUUCAAGUGAAGACAUGACUUCAACCAGUGCAGGUAUCCAGUGAAUGCCACUGACUCAACUUCCUAUAACUCUGCUGAACACCACAUUCAAUCAGAAGUUGCCUUGGUGGAAAUGACAGAUUGCAGUUUCCUUCCUUUUCAAGCUCAGGAUCUCUGAUCAUAUUUGUGGUAAAUCCUGAAUGAGGUUGCGAGAA